rnacentral:rRNA from 1 species
UACGUAGGGGGCUAGCGUUGUCCGGAAUCAUUGGGCGUAAAGCGCGCGUAGGCGGCCCGGUAAGUCCGCUGUAAAAGUCAAAGGCUCAACCUUUGAAUGUCAGUGGAUACUGCCGGGCUAGAGUCCGGAAGAGGCGAGUGGAACUCCUGGUGUAGCGGUGGAAUGCGCAGAUAUCAGGAAGAACACCAAUGGCGAAAGCAGCUCUCUGGGACGGUACUGACGCUGAGACGCGAAAGCGUGGGGAGCGAACAGG